UGAAGUUAUCCUCCCACCUCAGCCUCCCAUAAAAUCCCAGGAUUAUAGGCAUAAGUUACCACAUGUGGCAUUAUGAGCUCUUUAAAUGAGACCCUGUGGCUUAAGAACUCCCUGAUCCAAAUUCUUUUUAAAGUUUUUGCAAAGUACAUGAAAUCAGCAAAUUCUGACAAAUAAGGGGGAUGGAAAAGGGGAUUCACACAUACUGCCAGCCUACCGUAUAUCAUGAACUAUGCUAAAUGACAUUGCUUCCAAGAUUCAGUCACGAUGUAACUUUUUAAAUAUAAAAAAUAUGAUGUCACAGUGCUAUUUCCUAGGGGCACUUGUGAGUACAGUUCUUCCUAGAGGUGGCUGAGAAAAUGUGUUCUUGUUUGAUCUGUGGCCUCCCUAGAACAUUUUGUCACUGACCUCUGAUCAGUUGAUCACCUUGGAGAAAUGGGAGUCAUGACUGGAUUCCUCAAUCACUUAUUUAAUCACUCAUUUAACAGAUAUUUAUUUAGUCCCUACACUGUACCAGGCCUGUGCUCAAUGCUGGCAAUGCAACUGUGAGUGCCUUCUUAUCACAAUGCAGCAAAGACCCAACAAGUGAAUGGUGGGGAAGAAGAGGGUGAUAUGGAAGCACAUAGAGGAGGCCCUUCCUGGCUUAGCAGGCUUUACUUUCCUCACUUGUCUUUCAGAUGCAUCUCCCCCUAUCCACCGCUAUGGCCACCACCCUCAUCAUUUCACACCUAUAUUUCCACAAUAAGCUCCCUGCCUCCAGUUUCGUCCUCCCACUGCGGUCACAGUCAUCAUUCUCUAAUGCAAAUCUGAUCAUGUGGAAAAAUUUCCCAGCCUUCUGCAUAAAAUUGAAGCUCCUCUGCUUGGGAUAGCUCCAUGCACACUUGAUGCCUGCUUAUUUCUCUGGCUUGAUGUCGUGCCACUCUGCAGAGUUAAGAACCCACAUCUCUCCCUGCAGCCACACAGAAAUACUUCCAGUCCUCACAGAGGUUUUUUCCUGCCUGGAAAGCCCUUCUCUUCUCCUUGUUAUAUUGUUCAAUACUCAGUUUAUGUCAACCUACCUAAAAAACUUUCUUGAUCUUCUUACCCUUUUUGAGUUGGAUGACCUCCCUUUGUGUCUCUCUCUCAAAACACUCACUCUACGAUAUUAGUUAUUAAUUAGUGUCACCAGGUGCUGUUCACCCUAUGUGGCUCUAAUCCCAUGGGAUGGCUUACAAUAACCCUAAUUUUUCAGGCAGUCUCAAAUGUUUCCUCUGCCUGGAAUGUCCUUUCUAUCCUUCCUUACUUGGUAAAAGACUAUUCAUUUUUCAAGAAUAACUCAAAGCUUACCUGCUCAAACCCACCAGGGGAAGAAAAAAAAAAAUCACUUACAUGUCUGUACUAUUGGUACUUGGUUUACCCUACAGUUAUAACAGUUAAUCAGAUUGUGUAAUAGCUAAAUACCUAUUUCCUCCUUAAGGACUGGGACCAUUUUUUUACUUCUUUAUUUGGGGUGGAGGGAGGCAGCAGGGCUAGGGGGACAGUGAGUGCCAGGCUCCAGCACAUACGUGCUCAUGCAUGUUUUCUGAGUGUUGAGAAAAUCCAGAAGGAGGCAUGGAGAAUAUACCAUACACAUUUAAAAGCUUAUAGUACAAAAUAAGUGCAGAUAUACAUUAACAUAUAUCUCAAUAUAUAUACAGAUAGCUCUGUACUAUGUUCUACAACAUAGUACAAAGCUAUCCUCCUUUCUGACUAUUUAAUGUGUAUUAGCCUUGUAUUAACAACUAGAUUGUAAACACUUUGAGGGCCAGAACUACAUUAUACAUUUUUAUAUGACCUCCAAUACUAAAUACAGAAUAGGUGAUCAGUAAGUACUUGUAAACAGAAUCUGAAAGCAAUCAAAAUAAAUUGAUCUUGCACACAAAAAGGAAAUAUAUUGUGACAGAACCAAUAAAGAACUCUAAUAAAAAGAAAAAUUAAUCUCGGUAUUCUCUUACCAAGAUUUGCAAAGAAAAUGAUGAGAAUGUUCACCAUGAAAUAAAAAGGACAUCUGCUUCCAAUUAUAGCUAAACCUCCUGUAUACCAAUUUUAACUUGAAAAUGCUUCCGGAAAGGUCUUUACUCCACUAGUUAUUUGAAAAAUAAAAACAAAACUUUCAGAUUGCUAUCUUACUGAAUACCCUUAAAAAUCAUAAAAGCCAAGCUGUUUCAAUGAUAGCUGUACCUUUCCCCAUUCUCCUUUUUCCCUUUCUUUUCUUUCUCAAAAACAUCUUUACCUUUUUUUACACUGACUUAUGAGUCAAGAGUCAAGGUAUCUUUCACCUAUGAACUUUCUCAAUUAAUCUCAUGUAUAUCACGCUUUCUCCCACUGGAAUGAAGUCACAAAACGUUAAAAAUACAAAAGGUCCCCAUCCCAAGGAGCCGCAGAGAGGUGAUCCCCACCUGUCAUCUCAAAGUGAAGAGAACUCCCCUGGUGACGGACAGUCAUCAGUACUGCAUCUGAACUUCCAGUGUUGACUUAUGUCAGCAUCAGCUUGGUUCCCAGGUUCCCCACACACUUCUCUUAGAAAUCUAAGGCUUCCCAGGCACAGAAGGGCCAAAAAUACACCUGUCCACCCAUCCCACCUUCCAGGUACAAACAACAUAUCAAGAUAGAGAAACUUUCACACUUUCUAGACCUAAAGAGCCAAUUUGUGAUUGUGCUAAAGGUUAUCCCAGAAAGAAUCAAGUCUUUUACAGUCCAGAUGUGGCAUUCCAGAAAUCUCCAAGCUAGGUCCCACCCGAUGAAUACGAGAGCUGCUAACCACACAAACAGGAGAAGACACACAUGGAUUCAGGGAAGGCUGUAGAGUACCUCCCUUCCUGUCUCCUCCUGUCUUAACUGGCCUCUAGUCACACCUCUCCUAAAUGACCAUUAUCUGUCCCUCUUCCAUUUGCCUUUGUCCCAGUCCUCGACUCCUCACACGCUGACCCAGUCCCAGCUGUUUCGCAGGGCCAUUAGAUUUGAGGCUUUUCCCAGGUGCAGCAGGCGCUCUGCACUCUGAGAUCCCGUCCCAGUGGGGCUAGCGUUUGGGGGAGUCCUUUUCUCGGGACCUCUUCCCUUGGGCCGAAGAUAUAUUCUGAACGGUGCCUGUCGGCCCGCUAGAUAGAUACCAGACGGAAGAGAAUCUCUCCCACGAAAGAGGUUGAAAAGAAAAACGAUACCUCCACAAAGAAAAAUAAUAUCCUAGAGUCCUCCACAUAUUCCACACGUGUGUGUGUCCUAAAACCUCGAGGCAAAAAUAAAGUCCCUGCUUCCCCCCUGCCGCUGCCACCACUGCAGCCCCUAUCCGGCUCCCAGAGCUGCCGCGGUGCUGUGCACGAAGACAGCACCUUCCCCUGGGAGGAGAGAUCCUGGCGCCCAGCGUUUCUAGGAGGUGAUUAUGACAAGCCUUUCAGGAACUCAUCAUUCAUCCCGCACUGACCCGAGCCUCACCCCGGCGCCUUUGGCACUGAGGCUGAAAGAGAAAGGCUGCCCCUCCAAUUUUCCAGGUGACACCCUCCCCCCCAUACACACACCCUCACUACUAUGCGCAUAGGGCGCAGGUGGGGGUGAAAGGGAAGGAUGGCAGGUGCCCACGCCUGAGGGAGAAUCAGUGUCAACGCUUACAGCUGGGGGUAACAGAAUGCCCGAAGCCAAUUAAUACGCACACAUCUGCAGAUGGUUUGGAGAGAAAUUAAUGGUUGACCUUCCAGGAAAGACCCUUAUUACCCCAGCCCAGGUUAAUACAGUGAUCUACUAAUGGAUUUUGGAGCAACUGAUUGAAAGUGAGCGUGGACUGUGCUGGCUGGGGCACCAAGGAGCAGGAGGACUCUCACCACUGUUUCCUGCCUCUUGUCGGUAGUUCUAACAGCAAAGAAUUCUUGAGUCUGGAGCAUCCCAUCAUCACCUCUGCGUUGACCUCUACCCUAGCACUUCUCGUACUAUGUUGUAGUCACACAUUGAUACAUGUGCUGUGGUUUGAACUAAAUCACUUUAUCUCAUCUCUGUGCCCGUUCCCCAAGGCUCAGCCUACCAGGAGACAUCCAGAGCCCCAGGGAACAGGGCCCUGCUUUGGCACAUCAGUGGUGCCAGUGUCCCCACGCUGUCCGCGACUCUGGACUCUGGCGGGGACACCCAGCAGCUCCUGUGCCACCCCAUGGCUACGGUAAUGAGUGUCAGCAGUAUGGAGGGCCUUGGGACUUCAGGCGACUGCAAUGCUGCCUGGGUUUAUUGGUUUUGUCACAAAAAUGAGCAUCUGUGCCCAUAGUGGCAGCAUGAGCCGCAGUUGCAACGUUCGGGCUCCCUCUCCCAGACUA